UGGGGAAUUUUGGACAAUGGGCGAAAGCCUGAUCCAGCAAUGCCGCGUGUGUGAAGAAGGCCUUCGGGUUGUAAAGCACUUUUGUCCGGAAAGAAAUCCUUGGCUCUAAUACAGUCGGGGGAUGACGGUACCGGAAGAAUAAGCACCGGCUAACUACGUGCCAGCAGCCGCGGUAAUACGUAGGGUGCAAGCGUUAAUCGGAAUUACUGGCGUAAAGCGUGCGCAGGCGGUUUGCUAAGACCGAUGUGAAAUCCCCGGGCUCAACCUGGGAACUGCAUUGGUGACUGGCAGGCUAGAGUAUGGCAGAGGGGGGUAGAAUUCCACGUGUAGCAGUGAAAUGCGUAGAGAUGUGGAGGAAUACCGAUGGCGAAGGCAGCCCCCUGGGCCAAUACUGACGCUCAUGCACGAAAGCGUGGGGAGCAAAACAGGAUUAGAUACCCUGGUAGUCCACGCCCUAAACGAUGUCAACUAGUUGUUGGGGAUUCAUUUCCUUAGUAACGUAGCUAACGCGUGAAGUUGACCGCCUGGGGAGUACGGUCGCAAGAUUAAAACUUAAAUGAAUUGACGGGGUCAUAGCUGUUUCCU
rnacentral:rRNA from 1 species